rnacentral:rRNA from 1 species
UGCGAAAGCGCUGCUAAUACCGGAUGUGGCCAUGAGGCGGUGGUUUCAUGGUCAAAGUCGGCCUCUCGAAAGAAGCCGGCGCGCGGGAUGGGCCUGCGUCCUAUCAGCUUGUUGGUAGGUAACGGCCUACCAAGGCUUCGACGGGUAGCUGGUCUGAGAGGAUGAUCAGCCACACUGGCACUGAAACACGGGCCAGACUCCUACGGGAGGCAGCAGUGAGGAAUUUUGCGCAAUGGCCGCAAGGCUGACGCAGCAACGCCGCGUGGGUGAAGAAGGCCUUCGGGUCGUAAAGCCCUGUCAGGUGGGAAGAAUGUCCGGGGGACGAAUAAUUUCCCGGAGUGACGGUACCACCAGAGGAAGCACCGGCUAACUCCGUGCCAGCAGCCGCGGUAA